CAGCAAGGACACUCCCUGAUGCCGCCUUUGAAGUUGAAAAGUACAGGGUCGCCAUUUUUCGCGUAGUACAUCUCAGUGGUGAUGUGAUGUGUUGGUUCAUCAGUGUUGCCGAUGUCACCAACUUUAUUACCCGUAAGAGAUUAUUUUUGAAUAAUUUCUGGAAUUUAUGCAAAAGAUUAACAAUACAAUCGCCAUUCAUCGUCAAUAUUUUGUGUUAUGUCCCAAUUAUUGACAUAAUUCCCACAGGCAUACGUAUAAAAUUAUGUUGAAAAAUAUGAAUGUCAUAAAAGUUGAGUAAAUCUGGGAUC
rnacentral:lncRNA from 1 species